rnacentral:lncRNA from 1 species
AGAGUAGUGUUUUUCCUGUACUUUUUUUUUUUUUUUCCUGUGUAUGGGUCUGACUUCUAUCAUUGGCUAAUACAGAAAUCAAAUUGUUUUUGUGUAUUGCUCUUGUAUUCUGCCACAUUAAACUCAUUCUAAGGGUUUUUUUUUUUUGUAGAUUUUUUUGGAUUUUAUCAAUAUACAAUCAUGUUACCUAGGAGUAAACACCCUUUUACUUCUUUAUUUCUUGUCUGAAUGCCAUUUAUUUCUUUAGUCAUGUAUGCGUUUAUUUAAUUCUAUUGCACUGACUAUAAUCUCCAGUAAAAUGUUGAAUAGAAGUAGUGGGAGCAGACAUCCUUUUCUUGGUCCUGAUCUCAGGAGGAAAGUAUAGUCUUUCAUCAAUAAAUAUGCUGCUGGCUACAGGUUUCUGUAGACGUACUAGUUUACUGAGAGUUUUUAAAUCGGGGAUGGAUGUUGGAUUUUAUCAAAAAUUUUUUUGUGUCUUUUGUGCUGAUCAUGUUGUGUUCUCUUUUUUGAGGUAAUUCACUUUUAGGGUGAGUUACAUUGAUUAGUUUAUGAAUUUUGAUUCAACUUUGCAUUCCUGGGACAAACCUAACUCUGUCAUGAUGUGUUGUCUUUUUAAUAUAUUGAAUUAGAUUUCCUAAAAUAUUAUGAAGAUUUUUUUGUAUUGAUGUUCAUGAGAGAUACUACUCUAUAGUCUUCUUGUAGUUUUUUUUUUUUGAAUCUGUCUUUGGCUUCGAGGUAAUGCAGGUCUUAUGAAAUGAAUUGCAAACUAUUCCUUUUUAAUUUCCCAGAAGGGUUUGUGUAGAGUUAUUAAUAAUUCUUCUUUAAGUGUUGGGUAGAAUUCCCCAGUGAAGUCUUUUGGUUCUGAAGCCUUCCUUGUGGGGAGGUUUUUAACUACAGAUUCACUUUCAAAGAUUGGGUAUAGUGCUAUUCAGUUUAUGUCUACUUGAGUAAGCUCUGAUAAUUUGUAUCUUUCAAGGAAUGUAUCCAUUUAAUCUAAGGUGUCAGGUUUAAGAUUUUCUCUUUCAUUGGUUUUUGAGAAAUUUGAUAUACCUUGGAGUGGUUUCCUUUGUGUUUCCUGAAGAUAUGAUUUGUUAAACUUCUUAAAUUUGUGGGUUUACAGGUUUUAUCAGAUUUGGAAAAAUUUUGGUCAUUAUUUUUUCAAGUUUUUUUUUUUUCUUUUAGGAUCCAAUUGCGUAUAUAUUAGGUCACUUGAAUUAUCCCACAUGUCAUUAAUAGUCUGCAUUUUUUUUUUUUCUUUUUCGACUGCACCCGUGCCAUAUGGAACUUCUGGGUUCCAUAUGGAAUGGAAUCCUAGCUGGAACUGUGACCUGUGCUACACCUGCAGCAACACAGGAUCCUUAACCCACUGCGCUGGGCUGGGGAUCAAACCUGUGCCUUCUCAGGGACAAGCCAGAUCAUUAACUCACUACACUACAGGGGAGCUCUGCUCUAUGCAUUUUUUUUUUUUUUUGCUCUAUGCAUUUUUUAAAGGCUGUUUUCUCUGUGCAUUUCAUAUUGGAUGGUAUUUAUUGAUUUCUCAAGUUCAAAGUCUUUAUUUCUGCAAUGUCUAAUCUGGUACUAGUGCUAGUCUCAUCCAGUGUAAUUUUCAUCUAAGACAUUGUAGUUUUCUUAUAUAGAAGUUUAAUGAAGCCCUUUUGAAAAAAUAUAUUCCAUGUCACUAUAUAACAUGCUCAAACUUUCCUUUAACUUCUUAAAAAUAUGCAAUAUAAUAACUAUUCAACUAUUCACUAUACCUUGUCUGCUAAUACUGUCUCCUGUGUUAUUUAGGAGUUAGUUUGUAAUGAUUGAUGUUUCUCAUAAUCAUGGAUCACACUUAUAUUAUUUAGGAGUUAGUUUAUAAUGAUGGAUGUUUCUCAUAAGCAUGGAUCACUAUCCUGCUUCUUGCAUGCCUAGAAAUUUUAAGUUAUAAAUUGUACUUUGUUAUGUGGUAGGUAUUUUUAUAUUCUUAUACAUGUUCUUGAGCUUUUUUUCUAGAAUGUGCUUAAGUUACUUAGAAACAAUUUGAUCUUUCUGAGUGUUGCUUUUAAUCUUUGUUAGGUAGGAUUAGAGCAGCUUUUAAUCUAGGACUCAUUUUUCCCUAAUGUUGAGGCAGAACCCUCUGAGUACUCUACCCAGUGCCCUGUGAAUUAAAAGGUUUUCCCUUUGAAGGGUGGAAGCAGGCGCUCUACGCUGCACUGUGUGAGCCCUGCACAUUGUUCCUGACCUGCAUCGAAGGUGGUCUUUCUCAGCUUCAGGAGUAAUGUUAGACACGUUUGCCCUGAUCAGGAUUUAACUCAAUACCAGAGGUGGGUUUUCUGCACAUCUCUGGAGUUGUUUCUCUGUGCAACUCUCCUUCCACCUGUCCUCUGCUCUGAGCUCUUGCCACUGUGGUCUACUUGAAUUCCCAGCUUUAUCUCUUUGAUUUAGGGGAACCUGGGCUGUGCUAGUUUUCUCUUUUUGGCAUAGUGGCCUGGAAGCUCUCUCCAGGUAGUAGCAAGCUGGGGCAGCCGUAGUGCUCGCCUUACCUGUUUCCCACCUCUCAGGGAUGACUGUUCUUCAUUGCCUAAGGUCCAGAAUGUCAAAACCGUUGUUGUACUUGCUGUUUUAUUUUUAAAUUGAAGUAUGGUUGAUUAAAAAUAUUCUGUUAGUUUCAUGUAUAGCAAAGUGAUUCAUUUUCUUAAUGUGUGUAUGUGUGUAUAUAUAUAUAUAUAUGCUACAGAGGGAACUUCCUAUUUGUAGACUUUUCGAUGAUAGCCAUCCAGACCACUGUGGGAUGGUGGGGUGGUACCUUAUUAUGGUUUUGACUUCCUUUUCUCUAAUAAUUAACCAUGUUGAGCAUCUUUUCAUGUGUCUGUUGGCCAUCUGUGUAUCUUUGGGAAAAUGUCUAUUUAGGUCUUCAUAUUCUGUUUUUCAGUUGUUUUUGUCGUGUGACUAAGCAUGGUCCCUCUUACUCCAUCUUGCCCCAAAUCAGAAGUGCCAGUAUUAUAUUUGGAAGGAACAAAGUUUUUAUUUUAAAAAAAUACAUUUUGUCAGAUUUUACUGUUCCCUUAAAUACUCUUUCCCCCAUUACUGCCAAUUACUGAAACU